rnacentral:rRNA from 1 species
AUUGAACGCUGGCGGCAGGCCUAACACAUGCAAGUCGAGCGGAUGAAGGGAGCUUGCUCCUGGAUUCAGCGGCGGACGGGUGAGUAAUGCCUAGGAAUCUGCCUGGUAGUGGGGGAUAACGUCCGGAAACGGGCGCUAAUACCGCAUACGUCCUGAGGGAGAAAGUGGGGGAUCUUCGGACCUCACGCUAUCAGAUGAGCCUAGGUCGGAUUAGCUAGUUGGUGGGUAAAGGCCUACCAAGGCGACGAUCCGUAACUGGUCUGAGAGGAUGAUCAGUCACACUGGAACUGAGACACGGUCCAGACUCCUACGGGAGGCAGCAGUGGGGAAUAUUGGACAAUGGGCGAAAGCCUGAUCCAGCCAUGCCGCGUGUGUGAAGAAGGUCUUCGGAUUGUAAAGCACUUUAAGUUGGGAGGAAGGGCAGUAGGUUAAUACCUUGCUGUUUUGACGUUACCAACAGAAUAAGCACCGGCUAACUUCGUG